rnacentral:ncRNA from 1 species
GUGCAAUCGAUCGUCAAAUUUGGGUAUAGGGGCGAAAGAUAAUCGAACUGUCUAGUAGCUGGUCCCUCCGAAGUUCCCUCAGGAUAGCUGGAACUUACGGCAGUUUUAUCAGGUAAAGCGAAUGAUUAGAGGUCUUAGGGUUAAAACAACCUUAACCUAUUCUCAAACUUUAAAUUGGUAAGAAGUCCGACUUGCUUAAUUGAAGCCGGACAGAGAAUGCAAGUUCCUAGUGGGCCAUUUUUGGUAAGCAGAACUGGCGAUGCGGGAUGAACCGAACGCGCGGUUAAGGUGCCAAAGUCGACGCUCAUCAGACCCCACAAAAGGUGUUGGUUGCUCUAGACAGCAGGACGGUGGCCAUGGAAGUUGGAAUCCGCUAAGGAGUGUGUAACAACUCACCUGCCGAAGCAACUAGCCCUGAAAAUGGAUGGCGCUCAAGCGUCGCACCUAUACCGUGCCGUCGGAGCAGAUGCAAAGCUCCGACGAGUAGGAGGGCGUGGGGGUCGUGACGCAGCCUCUGGCGCGAGCCUGGGUGAAACGGCCUCCAGUGCAGAUCUUGGUGGUAGUAGCAAAUAUUCAAAUGAGAGCUUUGAAGACCGAAGUGGAGAAAGGUUCCAUGUGAACAGCAGUUGGACAUGGGUUAGUCGAUCCUAAGAGAUAGGGAAAUUCCGUUUGAAAGCGCCCGAUCUUGGGCCGCCUAUCGAAGACGCUGGCGGGGGCCCUGGGAAGAGUUCUCUUUUCUUUUUAACGAGCUUUCACCCUGAAAUCAGCUUGCCUGGAGAUAGGGUUUAAUGCUCGGUAAAGCACCACACUUCUUGUGGUGUCCGGUGCGCUCUCGACGGCCCUUGAAAAUUCGGGGAAGACAUUGAUUUUCGUGUCCGGUCGUACUCAUAACCGCAGCAGGUCUCCAAGGUGAGCAGCCUCUGGUUGAUAGAACAAUGUAG